UACGCCUAUAUGAAGUCGGAAUUGCUAGUAAUCGCAGAUCAGCAUGCUGCGGUGAAUACGUUCCCGGGCCUUGUACACACCGCCCGUCACACCAUGAGAGUCGAUAACACCCGAAGCCUGUAGUCUAACCAUAAGGAGGACGCAGUCGAAGGUGGGAUUGAUAAUUAGGGUGAAGUCGUAACAAGGUAUC
rnacentral:rRNA from 1 species